rnacentral:tRNA from 1 species
AGGGGUGUGGCUCAGUGGUAGAGCACUUGCCUAGCAUGCAAAAGGCCCUGGUUUCAUCACCAGUACUAUAA